GAGCUGUGCAAGAACAUCAACCCCGAUGAGGCCGUCGCCUACGGUGCCGCUGUCCAGGCCGCCAUCCUGAGCGGCGAGGGCAACGAGAAGGUGCAGGACCUGCUUCUGCUGGACGUCACCCCUCUCUCCCUUGGCCUGGAGACCGCCGGAGGAGUGAUGACCGUGCUGAUCCCGAGGAACACCACCAUCCCCACCAAGAAGGAGCAGGUGUUCUCCACCUACUCGGACAACCAGCCUGGUGUCCUGAUCCAGGUGUACGAGGGCGAGAGGACACGGACCCGCGACAACAACCUGCUGGGCAAGUUCGAGCUCUCCGGCAUCCCCCCUGCGCCCCGUGGUGUGCCCCAGAUCACGGUGUGCUUCGACAUCGACGCCAACGGCAUCCUGAACGUCUCGGCCGAGGACAAGACGACCGGGCAGAAGAACAAGAUCACCAUCACCAACGACAAGGGCCGUCUGUCCAAGGAGGAGAUCGAGAAGAUGGUGCAGGAC
rnacentral:lncRNA from 1 species